rnacentral:rRNA from 1 species
AGGAUGAACGCUGGCGGCGUGCCUAACACAUGCAAGUCGAACGCGCUCCAUUCAGUAGCAAUACUGAUGAAGAGUGAGUGGCGAACGGGUGAGUAACACAUGAGCAACCUGCCCCGAAGACUGGGGCAACACCGGGAAACCGGUGCUAAUACCGGAUAUCCCUAUCGGACCGCAUGAUCUGAUAAGGAAAUGGAUUCCGCUUCGGGAGGGGCUCGUGGCCUAUCAGCUAGUUGGUGAGGUAAUAGCUCACCAAGGCAUCGACGGGUAGCUGGUCUGAGAGGACGAUCAGCCACGCUGGGACUGAGACACGGCCCAGACUCCUACGGGAGGCAGCAGUGGGGAAUCUUGCGCAAUGGGCGAAAGCCUGACGCAGCAACGCCGCGUGGAGGACGAAUGCUUUCUGAGUUGUAAACUCCUUUCAGCAGGGACGAUUGUGACGGUACCUGCAGAAGAAGCACCGGCCAACUACGUGACCG